ACCUACCAAUUGAUCUUUUCAUCAACCUAUUCAGGUAGAAUUCGAUCUCAAUUAGCUCUUAUCUUGAGUUUAAAUGCUUGAAUUCGCUCCGUUUUUGAAAUAUUUUUCUCAAAUUUUCUUAGAACGAACAAUGUUUGGUAUGUGUUUGUGUGUAUUUUAUAUGAAAUGUUGAUAUAUUCUGAAAUCUCUUUGUUACAUUCUAGAUUUUGAUUAUGUGUGUGUGUAUUUUUCCAUAUAUAGAGUUUCACAUGUCUCGAAACUCUACUUGCAGACUUUAGGCCUUAAAUAAUCAAGUAUUGCAGGUCUCGAAACUCUACUUGCAGACUUUAGGCCUUAAUGUCAAGUAUUGCAGACAAUGUAAAUAUUAUAAGACCCUGCAAAUUCCUAUUCUUCCAUAUAUAGAAUCUUGUCCACAGAUAGGAACCAGAAUUUUUCAAAGAAUCAAAGGUCCAGCUCUAAGAAAAACAAUUGAAAAUUAAAGUAGCAUACUAUUACCAUCCUUGCAUUGUGUGGCUAAUUAUUUAUAAGCUAAGAUUUAAAUUGCUAGAUAGAAGAACUUGCAGCAGGCUUGAUCGAACAUAGUUAAGUGCCUGCUUACAAAAUCGACAGGCUUGCUAUACCUAUCUUGUCGAUCACCUUGCCAACCAAUUUUGAUAUGAACAAUCAAUGACUUUCCUGCAUUAGGAAACUUAGCUGGGUGUACUACAAAGGGAAGAGCAGCGUGCCCAAUAUGUGGUCUCAACACAAGUUCAAUAUGGCUAAAAUACAGCCAUAAGUUUAUUUAUAUGGAUCAUCGACGAUUUCUAGUAUGUAACCAUCCUUUUCGGCUGAAAAAAAACUGGUUCAAUGGGAAGUGUGAACUUAGAGAAAAACCUACUGUUUUGGCUGGAACAAAAGUUUGGGAGGAGAUUAAAGACAUUAGAAAUGAUUGGGGAAAAAGAAUUAAGGAAAAGAAUGGUAAAGGAAAAGGAAAAAGAAAAAGGAAAGGGGAAACACAACCUAUACAAAUGUGGAAGAAGAAAUCUAUCUUUUUCACUUUGCCCUAUUGGAAGGUAUUAAUUACUAUGUCAUUCUACUUAUUUUACGUGAUUAUCUUUAUUUUAACUUUCAAGUAUUUUGAUUAUAUUUAUUUUAACUUUCAAGUAUUUUUAUUAUAAUUUUUUUCCCUAGCAUCUUCUCUUGCGCCACAAUUUGGAUGUUAUGCGCAUUGAAAAGAAUGUGUGUGAAAGUUUAAUCAUGACAUUGCUACAUGUCAAAGGAAAAUCCAAAGAUGGGCUCAAUUCUCGUCUAGAUUUAAGAAAAUUGGGUACGUUCUUUUGAAGGCUCCACCGAGAGGCUUCCAUGAAUCAGCUUUUGAUAUCUCAGGUAAGUGGUUAAAUGGUUUAGUUUGUUAAUUUCUUUUGUGAUGGAAUAUGGUUAUUGGUAUUUGUUGUCUUUCUUGUUUGUUUAUCUCUGGGAAUAUGGAUUGUUCAAUUGCUAAGACCAAAACUUCUUAGCUUUUCAAUAUUAAAAGGUCUGCAGUCCCUUUUCGACUGCUGGUAACUGGCCCAAAGAGAUCUGGCUGAAUAUGAGUGCUAUGUCAGUUAUGCCCAAAGCCCCAAAUUAAAUGCCCAUUGUAACUAAAUAAUAUUGUUUUGAGUAGAAUGAGUAGUUCUGAUUCUGCAAGUGAUUUUUCUAGUUAGGGUUUUUAUUGAUUUUUUUUUUUAUUUUUGGAAAGUUAUAGACUUAUAGUGAUGGUGCAAUUUGAAGAGAAUGAUAUUGAUUUAGUUAUUGAAGUUGAGUUAUUAAAUUUAUAUGAAAUGGUGCAAUUGUUUUUCAUUGGUGUCACCGAAUUUGAAAGAGCGAGUACAUCUGAUUAAAUAUUUAAAAAUAGUUUGAUAUGUUAGGAAAUUUUGAAAAUCACAUAGUCAUUAAGCUCAGGAGUCAGGAAACCAAUGUAGUAUUAAAUUAAGGUUUCAAUUUGAGUUUCACAUAUAUUCCACUUCAAUAAGACUGUUCUAAUAGAACUUCUAUGAUUAAUGUUAUAUCUAUGCUUUAAAUUUGCUGUGUUUUGUGAGUUUCAAAUUCACAAUGUUAUGGGACAUAUAUAUGUCUCGCGUCAAUAUAACGACUAUGUUAUGCAAGAGGUGAGGUGCCUUGCACAAUUUCUGCCAGGCCUCAAUUUUGGGAAGAAAUUAAGAGUUUAUGCCGGUCUGAGCUUAGUAGCUCACAUUAUUGUGGAGAGGAGUGAUACAUUGCUUUUAUGGUUGAUUGUUGUAUUGGCAAAUUGUGAAAUUAUAGAAAUGGAAGUUAUAACUGUAAGAAGCAUAAAGGAUUGUUUUAUAGGGUUAAAAUUUGAAAUCACAUUUUGCUGUCCAAGAGAUAGUUGUUUUGUCCCUCUAUAAAAAUUCCAUCUAUGGAAGUGGAGGUGGAGUCAAACCAUAAACAAGCCUUUGCACAGCUGCACACUCUUUGGAAUUGCCUAGUAUCAUUAAUUCAUUAUAGGGUAAUCUCAAACUAUUAGUAGUUGAAUAUAUUAAUCUACAGAUUUCUAAAACCUUUUAAAAGUUAAAAGUCACAAAGUUAGCAUUUUUUAGCAUGAGAAAAAGAUCAACUUAUGAUUUCUUUUUAUAUUUUAUAGUUGAACAGGGUUAUGAACCAAUGUUUGGAACAUCUUCAAGUGCACAUCAGGUUAAGUAUCAAUAUAACAUGAUUGUUGUAAUCGAGUGUUAUUUGAUUUUUAAAUAAUUUGAGUAAUUGUUAUUUUGUUUUCAAUUAGGUGCAUUCCACAAAUAAAAAUCCCUUAGUUGUGAAGUGCAGACUGUUUCGAAUGGACGAAGAAGACAUUGUAGCUGAAGGUGUUUGGCUGUCAGAUAAUCCAGAUAUGGAAGCGCAGAGGAUUAAACUUGGGCCAGGUGCAUCUAAGGUUGUGGUGGAACAUGUUAUCGAAUCUACA
rnacentral:lncRNA from 1 species